ensembl:lncRNA
AUUUUUAACAUGACCCUAACUGAACACUUGGGGGAAAAAACUAUGACCCUCCGGUAUACCUUAAUCAGGUUUAACUAUGCUCACACAGAUGGCCACUUUUGUGAAUCACCUGGGAAGUUGUUGCAGUACGCCCAGCGUCUCGCAGUUCAGGCGUGGAAGACCGUUACUCCUUCAGAGUUGCUGUAGGCCUAACCUGAUGGGUGCCCUUCUCACCCAGACACUCCAUUUCAGAGGACGCCACGUUCCAGACAGAUUCACAGUUGUCUCCUAUUCAUUGACUUGUGCUCUGGGGGAUAUUCGAGAUGGAAAAACUCUUGAUUAAAUCCAUUCUGAUAAAAAAUUAAAAGAAGCUUGGCCAAGUACCUCCAAGGAUGAUACCAAUAGUUUGGUGAUGUCAAUGGGUCACAGACUCACUGCUGUUUUCUGCACGCAAGGGGUUUCCAACUAGAUUCCUGCUUUUUUACUUCUUACAUUUGUUUUAAUUUGAAUUGUCCCAAUACUUAUACUGUCAUUAAAUGGAGUGUUGGAACCCUGAAAUUGUUGUUGUUCUUAGUUGGUAAAACUUUUGUGUUGAAACGAACAGAAAUGAAAGGUGAUGUUCUGUACUUUCCCCCAUAUUCAUCUUUUAAUCGUACUUUUAUAUGCCUUGAGGAAGAAUAGCAGAUCUGACUUCACAAUCCACAUUCUUAUGAAGGGUCCUAUAUCUUUCCGUAUUCCGUAUAAAUGUUGACACAAUGUUUGGGGAAUCAUUAGAGGUGUAAACUGACCCCUCAGGGUACAACUUAAAAAAAGAAACCUAUUUACAUAUUUACAACUUCAAAUAAUAAAAUUCAACACCACCUCCAGUAAGGUUUGGGUGUGUUCAUUGUUUUAAUCCUGUAUGCGUAUGUUUUUAUUGUACUCUUUUGCUUCAAAUGUUGGGCGUGUAUGGGGAUUUUGUUGAAAUUCCUGCUUUAAGGGGGUUAAUUGAAUUAUGUUUCUACUCUUCUACAAAUGUAUUUACCAGAUAUGUUGUUCCUCCUUUCCCUAAUUCAGGGUACUGUGUUUCUACCCUUCUACAAAUGUAUUUACCAGACAUGUUGUUUUUCCUUUCCCUAAUUCAGGGGACUGUUUUUCUACUCUUCUACAAAUGUAUUUACCAGACAUGUUGUUCCUCCUUUCCCUAAUUCAGGGUACUGUGUUUCUACUCUUCUGCAAAUGUAUUUACCAGACAUGUUGUUCCUCCAUUCCCUAAUUCAGGGUACUGUGUUUCUACUCUUCUGCAAAUGUAUUUACCAGACAUGUUGUUCCUCCAUUCCCCAAUUCAGGGUACUGUGUUUCUACUCUUCUACAAAUGUAUUUACCAGACAUGUUGUUCUGUGGUCUCACUAUAUUACAUCCCAUCACUGUUGCUUUGAGUAUACUGAAUCACAUGCCAUGUUUUACUGAAGAAAUUGUACGCAAGCAUUUUUUUAAAUCAUGGCUGUGCUGCAGUCAUAUUUACGAGGCAAUAUCUGAUCACCACAAUAAAAACUGGUUCCAGGUUUAACUUUGGUGCUGUAUGAGUGCUGUGCAGAAAUACAGUAUACAACUUACUUUGUACAUUAUUCAACAAAAUACUUUUUAACAGUCCUUA